rnacentral:rRNA from 1 species
UGCUUGGGAACUUGCCUUUGCGAGGGGGAUAACAGUUGGAAACGACUGCUAAUACCGCAUAAUGUCUACGGACCAAACGGGGCUUAGGCUCCGGCGCAGAGAGAGGCCCAAGUGAGAUUAGCUAGUUGGUAAGGUAAAGGCUUACCAAGGCAACGAUCUCUAGCUGUUCUGAGAGGAAGAUCAGCCACACUGGAACUGAGACACGGUCCAGACUCCUACGGGAGGCAGCAGUGGGGAAUAUUGCACAAUGGGGGAAACCCUGAUGCAGCCAUGCCGCGUGUGUGAAGAAGGCCUUCGGGUUGUAAAGCACUUUCAGUUGUGAGGAAAAGUUAGUAGUUAAUACCUGCUAGCCGUGACGUUAACAACAGAAGAAGCACCGGCUAACUCCGUGCCAGCAGCCGCGGUAAUACGGAGGGUGCGAGCGUUAAUCGGAAUUACUGGGCGUAAAGCGCACGCAGGCGGUUUGUUAAGCUAGAUGUGAAAGCCCCGGGCUCAACCUGGGAUGGUCAUUUAGAACUGGCAGACUAGAGUCUUGGAGAGGGGAGUGGAAUUCCAGGUGUAGCGGUGAAAUGCGUAGAUAUCUGGAGGAACAUCAGUGGCGAAGGCGACUCCCUGGCCAAAGACUGACGCUCAUGUGCGAAAGUGUGGGUAGCGAACAGGAUUAGAUACCCUGGUAGUCCACACCGUAAACGCUGUCUACUAGCUGUUUGUGACUUUAAGUCGUGAGUAGCGAAGCUAACGCGCUAAGUAGACCGCCUGGGGAGUACGG